CAGGGUAUAGUAUAAAAUUUUGUAUAUUUUACUUACAAUAAAAAGGUUUUAACUCUGA
rnacentral:tRNA from 1 species